rnacentral:rRNA from 1 species
CCUACGGGAGGCAGCAGUGGGGAAUAUUGCACAAUGGGGGAAACCCUGAUGCAGCAACGCCGCGUGAGUGAAGAAGUAUUUCGGUACGUAAAGCUCUAUCAGCAGGGAAGAAGAUGACGGUACCUGAGCAAGAAGCCCCGGCUAACUACGUGCCAGCAGCCGCGGUAAUACGUAGGGGGCAAGCGUUAUCCGGAUUUACUGGGUGUAAAGGGAGCGUAGACGGUGGGACAAGUCGGAAGUGAAAACCCGGGGCGCAACCCCGGGACUGCUUUGGAAACUGCCUGACUGGAGUGCUGGAGAGGCAAGCGGAAUUCCUAGUGUAGCGGUGAAAUGCGUAGAUAUUAGGAAGAACACCAGUGGCGAAGGCGGCUUGCUGGACAGUAACUGACGUUGAGGCUCGAAAGCGUGGGGAGCAAACAGGAUUAGAUACCCGAGUAGUC